GGAAAAGGAAGCAGCCCUAUUUACAGCAGUUUGGGAACAGCAGCAGCUCGCCCUCCUGCAGCUCAGAGCGCGCCUGGUUGUUCUGCAGGGGAGGUUUCCCUCGUCACAAGUCCUUGCACUCCACCCAGCCUCAAAGCCACGGGGACGUCGGCAGUGGUCAACAUCGGAUCCCGGACUUGGAAAUCAUCGCUUGAAACAAGAGCAGCACAAAGAUCAUUCACAUUCUUGUAUCCAGGGGGAAAAGUGGCUUGGGUUAGCACUGCCUCGGUGCUCCUGGGUCACUGCAGCCACAGCCGGACCCCGCUGCGGGGCUCAAAGGAUGCGAUGGGGCUCCACGCUUCCAGAUGAGCAAACCAAGCUGUGGGUUUCCCAGCUGGGCCCGAGACCAAAGACAUUCAGCAGUCAGAGCUGUGAUUCAGGGUUUUGGGGCACAGGGAAAGGACGAUGAGCCCCGAGCUCCCCGUGCUGAGCACCCCGACACCUCGCAGCCUGGCACUGCUUCCUCGCGAACGCAGCCCGAGCGCACACACCGCAAAGAAACCAUCUGCCAUUUUCUCGUUUUGUAAUCUUUAUGUAGAUAUUUAACCCUACACCCUUAUCAAACGUAUGUAUAAUGAGCUCUACCAACUAAAAAAAAAAAAAAAAAAAAAAA